AUUGAACGCUGGCGGCAUGCCUUACACAUGCAAGUCGAACGGCAGCGCGGGAGCAAUCCUGGCGGCGAGUGGCGAACGGGUGAGUAAUAUAUCGGAACGUGCCCAGUAGUGGGGGAUAGCCCGGCGAAAGCCGGAUUAAUACCGCAUACGACCUGAGGGUGAAAGCGGGGGAUCGCAAGACCUCGCGCUACUGGAGCGGCCGAUAUCAGAUUAGCUAGUUGGUGGGGUAAAGGCCUACCAAGGCAACGAUCUGUAGUUGGUCUGAGAGGACGACCAGCCACACUGGGACUGAGACACGGCCCAGACUCCUACGGGAGGCAGCAGUGGGGAAUUUUGGACAAUGGGUGCAAGCCUGAUCCAGCAAUGCCGCGUGCAGGAAGAAAGCCUUCGGGUUGUAAACUGCUUUUGUCAGGGAAGAAAUCUUCUGGGCUAAUAUCCCGGGAGGAUGACGUACCUGAAGAAUAAGCACCG
rnacentral:rRNA from 1 species